rnacentral:rRNA from 1 species
GUGACCGAGCGACGCCGCGUGCGGGAUGAAGGGCUUCGGCUUGUAAACCGCUUUUCUUUGGGACGAAGGUCCUGGUCGUGAACUGGGAAUUGACGGUACCAGAGGAAUAAGCCCCGGCUAACUCCGUGCCAGCAGCCGCGGUAAGACGGAGGGGGCAAGCGUUGUUCGGAAUUAUUGGGCGUAAAGGGCUCGUAGGCGGACGGGCAAGUCCGACGUGAAAUCUCCACCACUCAACGGGGAGAGGUCGUCGGAUACUGCUCUGUCUGGAGUGCGGUAGAGGACCAUGGAAUUCCAGGUGUAGCGGUGGAAUGCGUAGAGAUCUGGAAGAACACCGGUGGCGAAGGCGGUGGUCUGGGCCGUAACUGACGCUGAGGAGCGAAAGCUAGGGGAGCGAACGGGAUUAGAUACCCCGGUAGUCCUAGCCGUAAACGAU